AGUGGCCGACAGAGGGCGCCGAGAUUCGGGAGCCGGGGUGGGGCGGCCCCGGGCCUCCGUCUGCUCCUCCCACCCCCGCCGCGGCACCCACGCCCACUCGGCGGCGGGGGCCGGGUCUUGGGAAAGUCCCAGGGCGCACCUCGUGCCGGAAAUUUUUCUCACGCACCUGGAGUCGCAGAAUGCCCGGGCUGCAAGUGAUGUCAGGGGGGGCCUAACCUGCCAAAGCUCACACUCUGGAGAAGAUCUCUCAGUGUGACCUGGCCACGUAGCUCGGAUGGCCUGUUUGUCAACGUAAAUGAAGGGUUAGCUCAUCAACAAGCCCUGCCCACUGCCCACAAAUACACUAUCCUGAGCCCUCUUCUGAAAUCAUCACUCUUUACAGGUAUUGCAUCCAAAGUAGGUUUCUCUCCCAUUACAGCAGACAUCAAACAAAAAAUACGCCUACUCAAUGUGAAGACGAUGAGAAUGAAGCCCUUUAUGAUGAUCCACUUCCACUUGAUGAGUAGAAAAUACAAUUACUGGCCUAAUUGCAGAAAUUUCACUUGGAAAAAAUUGAUCUGGGUCAGCAGGAGCUGUUUCUGCCUCGUCUUCAAGUCUUGUUUCCUGCACAUAGACACCAUAAUUAUAGGCGAAUUCAGCUGAGUUGAUGUAACAAGCAAGUAGAUGCCACAAAACUGGCAAGAUAAAAGGAAAACCAAGAAAAUUGAAGAUGACUACUUUGUAUUCCACUUUUCCUAAGACUGGGAACUUCAGAAAUCCGCAAACUAAAAGUGUAGGCUACCUAAACUUAAGUUAAAGAAGCAAAAGGGGAUGAAAAUGUAUAUUCUC
rnacentral:lncRNA from 13 species